GUAGUAAACCCGCCUGCCUUCAAGCAGCAGGUCCAAAGUCCUGGUAAAGGGUGAUGGCUGC
rnacentral:lncRNA from 1 species